UCUAAACAGGAAGAGCAAAAACUUACUCUACAGGAGAUUGACACCUUUUUUAAAUCAGACCUCAUCAGAGAAAGAUUAGUGUGUAAAAGAAGAACAGGUCAAUAAAUACAACCAUGGAACAAGUUUCUAAGGGAAGGCAGGAGCAGGAAUCUUCUCAUCCAGACUUGCUGUUGUGACAUGGAUCACAGUGAAGGGGCAGGAGACAGCAUGUGAAGCUACUGAGCCAAGCCAAUGAAGAAAG
rnacentral:lncRNA from 1 species